CCUGAUUGGAGGAAUUUCUGAAACUUCACACAGUUUGUGUUCCAGUAAAAAGGUUCUGAGCAAAGACUUGAGCCUGCCUGUCACCAGCGGGUGGCGUGGCCACGCACACCGCUGAGCCUCUGUGGGUUUCCGUUUCCCUGUUCUUGAAGGGUUGGAUGUGAUGUCCUGCUCCUCCAAAGCAGAGGCCCUCUGCACUCCCUGAUCCACUUUAUCUCCUCAGGAGGCUGAGAUGCAGCCCAUUCCCGACGGCUCCAGGGAUCUAGAGUGUCACAGCCUGAUGUUCACACUGCCCUGCCUCUUCCACCUCACGAGUCACUGGACCCGACAGUGGGAGCAGCUUGUCACCAGGUCACCAGAUGACACAUGGCAGAAGAAAGGCUGUAUGAUGCCUUUACCUGUGAGAGAGCUAUUCUAGAAGUUCAGAAAAGUUCAUAAAUGGUGGCCUCCAUUGACCACAGAGACCCACACUGCGGGAGAGGGGCCACGGCAGGGUAGGCUGCCUGGCACCAGUUGGCAAGGAUUGCCAUAUCGUGCAAGUUCCAGGUGUUGAGCAGCAGUCUUGGCUCAGAGCUGGUGAGUAUUCCCUGGUAGGGCUGGGGCCUCUCAAGCAGCUCUUA
rnacentral:lncRNA from 1 species